rnacentral:rRNA from 1 species
UACAGAGGUGGCAAGCGUUGUUCGGAAUUACUGGGCGUAAAGGGCGCGUAGGCGGUCUUGCAAGUCCCGUGUGAAAUCCCUCGGCUCAACUGAGGAAUUGCACGGGAAACUGCUUGGCCUGAGAUCGGGAGAGGGAAGCGGAAUUCCGGGUGUAGCGGUGAAAUGCGUAGAUAUCCGGAGGAACACCGGUGGCGAAGGCGGCUUCCUGGACCGACACUGACGCUGAGGCGCGAAAGCGUGGGGAGCAAACAGG